CAGUAGCCACGGUAAUACAGAGGGUGCAAGCGUUAAUCGGAAUUACUGGGCGUAAAGCGCGCGUAGGUGGUUUGUUAAGUUGGAUGUGAAAUCCCCGGGCUCAACCUGGGAACUGCAUCCAAAACUGGCAAGCUAGAGUAUGGUAGAGGGUGGUGGAAUUUCCUGUGUAGCGGUGAAAUGCGUAGAUAUAGGAAGGAACACCAGUGGCGAUGGCGACCACCUGGACUGAUACUGACACUGAGGUGCGAAAGCGUGGGGAGCAAACAGGAUUAGAUACCCCCGUAGUCCCUGUCUCUUAUAC
rnacentral:rRNA from 1 species